rnacentral:rRNA from 1 species
AGCGAACGCUGGCGGCAUGCCUAACACAUGCAAGUCGAACGAGACCUUCGGGUCUAGUGGCGCACGGGUGCGUAACGCGUGGGAAUCUGCCCUUGGGUUCGGAAUAACAGUUGGAAACGACUGCUAAUACCGGAUGAUGACGUAAGUCCAAAGAUUUAUCGCCCAAGGAUGAGCCCGCGUAGGAUUAGCUAGUUGGUGAGGUAAAGGCUCACCAAGGCGACGAUCCUUAGCUGGUCUGAGAGGAUGAUCAGCCACACUGGGACUGAGACACGGCCCAGACUCCUACGGGAGGCAGCAGUGGGGAAUAUUGGACAAUGGGCGAAGGCCUGAUCCAGCAAUGCCGCGUGAGUGAUGAAGGCCUUAGGGUUGUAAAGCUCUUUUACCCGGGAUGAUAAUGACAGUACCGGGAGAAUAAGCUCCGGCUAACUCCGUG